GCUAUAGAGGAAGACAUGCAAAUAAGGUUUCUCAGUGCCCUUGAAAACCAGCCCUGCCCUGACCCUGCAGCUCUGGCAGAGGAGCCCAGCCCUAGAUUCCCAGGUCUUUUUCAAUCAGUGAUCAGCCCUGACCACAGACCACACAAGAUGGACUUGGGGCUCAGCUUGGUUUUCCUUGUCUUUAUUUCAAAAGGUGUCCAGUGUGAUGUACAGUUGGUGGAGUCUGGGGGAGGCUUGGUGCAGCCUGGAAAAUCUCUAAAACUCUCCUGUUUGGCCUCUGGAUUCACUUUCAGUAGCUACUGGAUGCACUGGGUCCGCCAGGCUCCAGGGAAGGGGCUGGAGUGGGUCGCAAACAUUAAAAAUGAUGGUAGUAGCACCAAUUAUGCCAACGCCGUGAAGGGCCGGUUCACCAUCUCCAGAGACAAUGCCAAGAACUCCCUGUACCUGCAAAUGAACAGUCUGAGGUCUGAGGACACGGCCACAUAUUACUGUGCAAGAGACACAGCGAGUGAGUGUAACUGAGAGCUCAGACACAAACCUCCCUGCAGGGCGCUCGUGACCAGCAGGGGGCGCUGAGAGCGCAGAGAGCUCCGGGUGACCCUGUUCAGAGAGUCCUGGAGGACAUGGAGGCCUGGACAAUGCUGAGUUUGGGCUGCCUCUCU